AUGUUAUUGAUUUGCAUAACACAUAUUCAAGAUGAAGUUGUUUAGUGAGCCAAGAGCCAAAAUGCCUAUCCCGUUCAUUAUGUGUUUAAGUUUAACCCCGUUGAGCCUUGUGUUGCCUAUGUUCUUUGUUAUCCACACUAUCCUCACCUAGCCUAGAUUAGGACCAUCCAUACCCUUGUUCUUGAAGCAUAGUAAAAAAUAAUUUAGAAGGAAUUCCUUUUGUUGAACUUUUGCAGAAAAACAAGCAUAGAAAAGUUGUGAAAAAUAGCCCUAAGUGUUGCAUGAAUCUUCCCUUUGUAUUUAAAAGUUGAUUCUGCAUUCUAAAGUGAAUUCCAAAGUGUCUAUUUCAUUGCUUUGCUUACUAUCCCUUUGAGAACAUUUGUUAUUCCUAUCCUUUCUUUAUUAGCCAAUACCCCAAGCCCCGUUACAACUCUUGACUUCUAUCUUGAGUGUUGUGUGUUUCAAUUUGUGGAGUUUGAAAUUGAUAUGAGCAUAUGGUGUCACUCAUUCUCGCAUCUAAGUAGUAGCAUUCCAUUCAUGAGAUCAUAUAUAUACAUGAAUUAAUAAUUCUAGAAAUUGCUUCUUUGUUGAAAACCAUAUGUGAGUACUAGUUUUCAUGUUUACAUCAAUCUUCUCACAUAUACCUAGUAUAAGGAGUGUAGUCAGAAAUUCUUGUGUGAAAAUAAGAGUGUAUCUAGUAAGGAAUUGAGGAAAUUCUCUAAGGCAUGUUACUAUAUUCAAAAUGUUGUUUUAAUUGAUUAAAUGUGAGCUAGUGAAUGGUGACUAUGAUUAAGUAUGCUCGAGGGUAAGGAAUGCUUACUUCUAUGUAAGUGGUGAUCUUUGGCAUGUCAUGUUUCAUUGAAAAUCCCUAAGGCAAAUGUUGGAAGGUUAGGUUAUGUUUUGUUUGUUUUGUUUGUUUUGUUUCGUUUUGUUUCUUUUGUUUUGCUCAAGGACUAGCAAAAGCUAAGUGUGGGGGAAUUUGAUAGGAGCAUAUUUAUGCUACUUAGUUAGCUUGUUCUUGUGCAUAUGUGUUGUUAUUUCUUAGUUAAUUAUGUAUUUUAAGCUAUUUUCGUGUGUUUGUAGGUCAUAAUAACAAAGUUGGCAAGAAAGUGCAUUUUGGAGCAUUUUAGAGCAUUUUUUAGCCAAGAUUGGAUAGUGCAAGCAUGGAGACAUGAGGAUGGACGUUUUUGAAGAUUUGAAGGCUAGAAAUCAACAUGUGUGUGUGCAAGUUUUUUGACCUACAACUCCAAACAUCCAUCCACUACACCCAUUACAUCCACUCAUUACCAAACAUCCACCCACUACACCCAUUACAUCCACUCAUUACCAAACACUCAUCCACUACACCCAUUACAUCCACUCAUUACCAAACAUUCAUCCACGACAACCAUUACAUCCACUCAUUACCAAACAUCCAUCCACUACACCCAUUGCAUCCACUCAUUACCAAACAUCCACCCACUACACCAUUACAUCCACUCAUUACCACAACACUCACCCACUACACCCAUUACAUCGACUCAUUACAACUUUAUACACUCCUCUCCCUAGCCUAUAAAUGCAUCCACCCUUCACCAUAAUUUGGGGGAGAUCUAUCCAAAGACACUACAUUCACAUCUCACAACUCCAUACACUUCCACCCAUCCACCCUUCACCAUAACUCACCUAUAUCCAUCCACCACCAUAAUUUACCUCUCAUCCAUCAAACCACACCUUGUGCCGCAACAAAAAGAAGAAUGAGGACCCUUGGACGUGCUUGCCAUUCAAGUUGGAUUGUUGGAGCAUUUUUAAGUGUUUCCUUUCUUUUGUUUUCAAUGUCUAAAUUUGUUUAUCUUUGCUUUGUAAGUAUGAGGAACUAAACCCCUCUUAGCUAGGGGGAAUUCGAAACCAUGUUCAUGCUUGCAAUAUGAUUUGAUUACUUUCAGUUAUGAUUUCAUAAGUUGUGAAUUCAAUUUGUUUAACUGCUUCAUUGAUAACUUAUUCGUGUAUGUUUAUUAAGAGUGCACACUUAGUUUGCAUGCAUGAAUAUGAUGCUAGAGUAUAAGGGAGUUUCACCUAAUAGUUACAAACUUAUAUUCUCCAGUAGUGGAGGUCGCUUAUAAACAAUCGCGUUAAAUAAAUUCUUGGCAUAAGUUUCAUGCAAUUCAUAGUUACAAGUGUUUCGUCAAUGCUUAUGAUUUUCAUAGAACUUAAUGAUUCUUGCUUGUACCUCUAUUAUGCAAUUCAUAUAGGGAACUUGUGAGGAAUGCUUUGGGUUGUUGUAUGCAAUCAUCCAAUUCAAUGAAAUUAGGAAAAUCUGAGGAUUAAUUUAAGCGUACCUAAUUAAUCUGAGGUGUUGAGGUUCAUGGUUUAUUGAAAAGCAACUGGAAAUCGUUUUAUAUGCAAGUGUGUUAUGUGUGGAGAAAGACCUUCUAACUAGCCCAUCAUGCAUUCAAAUCACCAAAUUCGUCCAAAAUCUGUUUUAAGUCUUUAGUUACUUGUUUUUACUUAAAUUCAUCCAAAACCAAAUCUCCCUUUACUUUAGAGUGUUUAAUUAGUUAGAAUAUGUCCUAGUUGUGUUUUUAAGUGUUUUGAGUUAAGUUAAAACCAAUUUCGUCCAAACUUUGUGUUAGUGGCAGAAACCGCCUUAGAGUUGUUUUUAGGCAGUUUUGAGUCUCUAUAAUCUGUUUUGAGUCUUGUGGCUUUGUUUUGAGUCUUGUAAAUUUAAUUUCAUGCUUUUAAGUUUGUUUUCACACAUUUAAGUCAGUUUCAAGUGUUUUAGCAAUCCCUCCUAAUCCCCUGCCUAGAACGAUCCCUACUUACAUUCUUUACUAUAAUUGACAACAAGAGGGUUUAAUUUGUGUGUUAAGUUAAUUUUCGCAUCAACAUACAUCACCUUUCUUCUUCUCCGAGAAUGCCUUUCCAACAAACCAUCUCGAGUCAAUCAGUGUUCCUUAUUCCUUGGGGUACCUCUGCAAACAACUCAUCCAAAGCAAAAGUAUUUCAUAUCAUGAAGGUUGAAAGCAAGAGUAUCUCAUAUCAUGCUUUCUCCCUGUCUUUCUCCUUGUCGUUGUGUUGGGACAAGGAGAAAGAGAGCAAUCAGCCAGCACUUGGUAUCAACCUUUCGAGCUGGAACCGACUGCCUAGAACCCCUUCCUAAUUUCUUACCUAGCCUUGCUCUCGAGUACUCAUCUUCAUUAUUUUAUGCUUCCUCUUCGUCUACCACAUCUACAUGGGGAACAGAUAAGGAAAGUGAAAAUGAUACCUCAAAGCAUGUGGAGACAAUUUGGUAAUUCAUCCUCAGCUAGGGACAAGGAGAAAGAAAGCAAGAGGUGGGCACUUGGAAAGAUUGAAGAAAGAAAUAGACCAACACCUCUACCUCGUGCCUGCCUGCCGUGCAGAAGAAACAAGCAGAGAAGAAUGCAAAGUGCACAAUCAAAUCAACCCAGCAGAAGGAGUCUGAUUUGAAACUAAGGAACUCUCAUAUUGCUCGCUCAGAAUUCAAAACCAAUUCGAGAUCAAAGCUGUGGAAAGACAAUAAGAUCAUCUAUCUCCAAAACCAGAUUUGUGUUCUUAAACUCUACUCUGUCUGGUUUUUACUAUGCGAUACUUGUCAUGUUUAUUAGUUGUUUGUUUGUUUGGUUGGUUUUUUUUUUUUUUGUGAGUUUAUGCUUGAAACAUUGAGGACAAUGUUUGAUUUAAGUGUGGGGGGGGUAACCAUUGUUUUGCAUGAAAUUCGUAGGAGUUUAUCACUCAUUACUUCUAGUGUUGUACCUUGCUGUUUUAAGUGUUUUUAAGCUGUUUUGGAGUGUUUCAGUGUGUUUUGACAUAAAAAUCAGAAAAUCUCUUAAAAAUUUGAAAAACUGUUUUGAAAAACCCAAAAAGAGUUGUUUUUGUAUGUUUAUUUGUGUCUUAGGGUACCUUCCAACACAAUGAUGAGGAUUUGGUUUUUAAUUACAUGACUGUUAAAGAGAGUUAUAAACGUGGAAGAAAAUUUGAUUUAAUCUUUGGUGUAUGCUUGGUUGUGGUUAUAAUUUAUGAAUUCACAUGCAAUCAUAAAAGGGAAAAUCAGUUUUUUUUUGUAACAUGCUUGAAAGAAGGAACUCAAACUAACGUCACAUCCUUGAGAGACUUGGGCCUAAACGUUUAUUUGGAGAAUUAUUAAUCUGUGCAAAUUUUUUUGUUUUCUAAAGUCGUUGCAUGAUCUCAUUAUUCUUUGCUUGGUUGCUACUUAGAAGGCGUUUCAUCAUUUAGUUCCAAAUGCUAGAACUCAUGCCUAUUUCAUUCAAAGCAUGUUAUUGAUUUGCAUAACACAUAUUCAAGAUGAAGUUGUUUAGUGAGCCAAGAGCCAAAAAGCCUAUCCCGUUCAUUAUGUGUUUAAGUUUAACCCCAUUGAGCCUUGUGUUGCCUAUGUUCUUUGUUACCCACACUAUCCUCACCUAGCCUAGAUUAGGACCAUCCAUACCCUUGUUCUUGAAGCAUAGUAAAGCAUAAUUUAGAAGGAAUUCCUUUUGUUGAACUCUUGCAGAAAAACAAGUGUGGGGGAAGUGAUUCUUGUGUGUAUGUGUGCCAAAGUCCUUCAUAAGGCAUGGGUAGAAAAGGAAAAGAAAAAGAAAAAUUCAUGGAAAAUAUAGUGAAAAGAAGAAAAGUUGUGAAAAGAGUUGAAAAAUUUAUGAGAAAGAGCUCUAAAGUGUUUGUUGAAGAAAUGGUCCAAAACAUUGAAUUCGACCCUAAGUGUUGCAUGAAUCUUCCAUUUGUGUUUCAAUGUUGAUUUUUGCAUUCUAAAGUAAAUUCCAAGUGUCGAUUCCAUUACUUUGCUUGCUAUCGCUUUAAGAACGUUUGUUAUUCUUAUCCUUUCUUUGUUAGCCAUUACCCCCAAGCCCUGUUACAACCCUUGACUUCAAUAUGGAGUGUUGUGUGUUUCAAUUUGUGGAGUUUGAAAUUGAUAUGAGCAUAUGGUGUCACUAGUUCUCGCAUCUAAGUAGUAGCAUUCCAUUCAUGAGAUCAUAUAUAUAGAAUGAAAAGAAGAAAAGUUGUGAAAAAUAGCCCUAAGUGUUGCAUGAAUCUUCCCUUUGUAUUUAAAAGUUGAUUCUGCAUUCUAAAGUGAAUUCCAAAGUGUCUAUUUCAUUGCUUUGCUUACUAUCGCUUUAAGAACAUUUGUUAUUCCUAUCCUUUCUUUAUUAGCCAAUACCCCAAGCCCCGUUACAACUCUUGACUUCUAUCUUGAGUGUUGUGUGUUUCAAUUUGUGGAGUUUGAAAUUGAUAUGAGCAUAUGGUGUCACUCGUUCUCGCAUCUAAGUAGUAGCAUUCCAUUCAUGAGAUCAUAUAUAUACAUGAAUUAAUAAUUCCAGAAAUUGCUUCUUUGUUGAAAACCAUAUGUGAGUACUAGUUUUCAUGUUUACAUCAAUCUUCUCACAUAUACCUAUUAUAGGGAGUGUAGUCAGAAAUUCUUGUGUGAAAAUAAGAGUGUAUCUAGUAAGGAAUUGAGGAAAUUCUCUAAGGCAUGUUACUAUAUUCAAAAUGCUGUUUUAAUUGAUUAAAUGUGAGCUAGUGAAUGGUGACUAUGAUUAAGUAUGCUCGAGGGUAAGGAAUGCUUAAUUCUAUGUAAGUGGUGAUCUUUGGCAUGUCAUGUUUCAUUGAAAAUCCCUGAGGCAAAUGUUGGAAUGUUAGGUUAUGUUUUGUUUGUUUUGUUUCGUUUUGUUUCUUUUGUAUUGCUCGAGGACUAGCAAAAGCUAAGUGUAAGGGAAUUUGAUAGGAGCAUAUUUAUGCGACUUAGUUAGCUUGGUCUUGUGCAUUUGUGUUGUUACUUUUAGUUAAUUAUGUAUUUUAAGCUAUUUUCGUGUGUUUGUAGGUCAUAAUAACAAAGUUGGCAAGAAAGUGCAUUUUGGAGCAUUUUAGAGCAUUUUUGAGCCAAGGUUGGAUAGUACAAGCAUGGAGACAUGAGGAUGGACGUUUUUGAAGAUUUGAAGGCCAGAAAUCAGCAUGUGUGUGUGCAAGUGUGUUGACCUACAACUCCAAACAUCCAUCCACUACACCCAUUACAUCCACUCAAUACCAAACAUCCAUCCACUACACCCAUGACAUCCACUCAUUACCAAACAUCCACCCACUACACCCAUUACAUCCACUCAUUACCAAACACUCAUCCACUACACCCAUUACAUCCACUCGUUACCACAACACUCACCCACUACACCCAUUACAUCCACUCAUUACCACAACACUCACCCACUACACCCAUUACAUCCACUCAUUACCAAACACUCAUCCACUACACCCAUUACAUCCACUCAUUACAAAACACUCAUCCACUACACCAAUUACAUCCACUCAUUACCAAACAUCCACCCACUACACCCAUUACAUCCACUCAUUACCACAACACUCGCCCACUACACCCAUUACAUCCACUCAUUACAACUUCAUACACUCCUCUCCCUAGCCUAUAAAUACAUCCACCCUUCACCAUAAUGUGGGGGGUAGAUCUAUUCAAAAGACACUACAUUCAUAUCUUACAACCUUCAUCCAAACACUUCCAUUCAUCCUCACAUCCAUUCCUCCAUACAAACAAACAUUCAAACACUCACCAACACCUUGUGCCAUAGCAAAGGAAGGGAAGGAAAGUGCUUGGAUGUGCUUGCUUUCCAACUUGGAUCGUUGGAGUGUUUAGGUAUUUUCUUUCUUUUGUUUUCAAUGUCUAAAUUUAUUUAUCUUUGCUUUGUGAGUAUGAGGAACUAAACCCCCCUUAGCUAGUUGAUGCGAAAUAUAUAAGCACACAAAUUAAACCCUCUUUUUAUCAAUUGUAGUAAAGUAUGUAAGUAGGGAUCGUUCUAGGCCGGGGAUUAGGAGGGAUUGCUAAAUCACUUGGAAACUAACUUGAAAACGUAAAAACAAAGUUUAAAACACUAACUAGACUCAAAGAAUGCAUAACUAUACUUUAAAACACUAAAACAAACCAAAAGACUCAAAACAG
rnacentral:lncRNA from 1 species